GCAAACUUGGUCAUUUAGAGGAAGUAAAAGUCGUAACAAGGUCUCCGUUGGUGAACCAGCGGAGGGAUCAUUACCGAGUUUACAACUCCCAAACCCCUGUGAACAUACCAGUACCGUUGCUUCGGCGGACCACCCCGACCCCUACGGGGCGACGGGCCCGCCAGAGGACACCUAAAAUUCAAAUGUAUCUUGCCCUGAAAAUUUUAUUCUGAGUGGAAUUUUUUAAAUAAAUCAAAACUUUCAACAACGGAUCUCUUGGCUCUGGCAUCGAUGAAGAACGCAGC
rnacentral:misc_RNA from 1 species